rnacentral:lncRNA from 1 species
ACUAAACAGUGAGAGAGCUUUUCCCUGCAGUCUUGUUGAAGCACCCCGGGUUUUUUGCUCAUUGUUGGUGGGUGCAUUUUAAUUUUUUCAUUCCCUGGACUAUGGGUUAUGAUAUCCAUACUCACUGAAGACAAAAAGCCACCUUUUCUGCGUCUUGGUGGCAUGCAUGUGUCUCAUCAUCCUUUCAAACUUGUGGUGGAACAGGGUUUUCUUCCCUGUCUGUGUAUUUUGAGCCAGCACAGUUACCAAAAUUGAACUUGUCUUUCGCUUGUGAGCGGUUGUGGUCAUUGUGAGGGCAAAACCUGGGAUGAGGAAAAGAGUCUGGGCACAAAAUUCCAGGAGUCUUCACACUCGGGUUCAUGGCAAAGAAAGAAGCCUUUGACCUUGCUCCUGUUCCAGGAUCAGAAAUGUCACCAUUCAGAUUUUAAAAUGAAGGGGUCAUUGACAUUAAGUGGGACAGAUGAACACUGGCUCCCGAAGAUGCCAUUGUCCAGAAAUAGGCAGCCAUUUGGGGUCUUCAAGAGACACUUCUAAUGAGAAAUACAAAACAGAAAUCUUGGGAUUGCUGACAACUACCCGCAGCUGGGACAACUGUGGUUAAGUCAGGACACUUCGAUGUGACGUGUUGCUCGAUGUUUUUCAAUGUGUGCAGCAGAAGUCGGGGAAGAUUCUUCCUUGAAUGUCGCGUUACAUACGUUGUCCUCUGAGAAGGAAGGUGGCUAUCCUUGGCAAUGGUUUCUAUUAUAACACAACUAUGAACUGUGGUCAUUUUCAGACAAGCUGCUUCCCUCCUCCCGGCCCUUGGUUUGUUUGGUGUUAAACGUCUCCUCUUGGUUUCUGUGGGUAAAUGAAUUGUUCUUAACACGGUGUCCUCUAAGAUGUGUGCUCUAUCCAGUGGGGCCUGCUGAGAACUGCCUGAACACAGUCCGUACGCUGCCUAAGUGCACUCCUGUGGCUAAAAUAAAUCUCAGCCCUAAUGACUAGAUCCCUCAUCCUGACCCAAGCCUGAUUAAGAGAGCAGGGAGACUCUGUAACAGUGACAUGU